UACGGAGGGUGCGAGCGUUGCUCGGAAUCACUGGGCGUAAAGCGUACGCAGGCUGUUUCGUAAGUCGGGUGUGAAAGCCCGGGGCUCAACCCCGGAAUUGCGCCCGAGACUGCGGAGCUUGAAUGCGGGAGAGGGAAGCGGAAUUCCUGGUGUAGAGGUGAAAUUCGUAGAUAUCAGGAGGAACGCCGGUGGCGAAAGCGACUCUCUGGGCCGCUCCUGACACUGAUGUGCGAAAGCUAGGGGAGCAAACAGG
rnacentral:rRNA from 1 species